rnacentral:tRNA from 1 species
GGGGAUUUAGCUCAGUGGUAGAGCGCUUGCCUAGCAAGUGCGAGGCCCUGGGUUCGGUCCCCAGCUCCA